CCUACGGGAGGCAGCAGUGAGGAAUAUUGGUCAAUGGGCGCAAGCCUGAACCAGCCAAGUAGCGUGAAGGAUGAAUGCCCUACGGGUUGUAAACUUCUUUUAUAAGGGAAUAAAACGAGGCACGUGUGCCUUUUUGCAUGUACUUUAUGAAUAAGGGUCGGCUAACUCCGUGCCAGCAGCCGCGGUAAUACGGAGGGUCCGAGCGUUAUCCGGAUUUAUUGGGUUUAAAGGGAGCGUAGAUGGGUUGUUAAGUCAGUUGUGAAAGUUUGGGGCUCAACCCUAACAUUGCAAUUGAUACUGGAAGUCUUGAGUACAGGAGAGGCAGGCGGAAUUCGUGGUGUAGCGGUGAAAUGCUUAGAUAUCACGAAGAACCCCGAUUGCGAAGGCAGCCUACUAAACUGUGACUGACGCUGAUGCUCGAAAGUGUGGGUAUCAAACAGGAUUAGAUACCCGAGUAGUC
rnacentral:rRNA from 1 species